rnacentral:rRNA from 1 species
UACAGAGGGUGCAAGCGUUGUUCGGAAUUAUUGGGCGUAAAGGGCGCGUAGGCGGUGCGGUAAGUCUGUAGUGAAAUCUCUGGGCUCAACUCAGAGUCUGCUGCAGAAACUGCCGUGCUUGAGUGUGGGAGAGGUGAGUGGAAUUCCCGGUGUAGCGGUGAAAUGCGUGGAUAUCGUGAGGAACACUAGUGGCGAAGGCGGGACUCUGGAGAACACCUGACACUGAGGCACGAAGGCCAGGGGAGCGAACGGGG